UCCCGUUGAUCCUGCGGGAGAUUGCUGCUAUUGGGAUUCGACUAAGCCAUGCAAGUGUUCUAGCAAUAGACGCGAAAGGCUCAGUAACACGUCGGUAACCUGCCCUAUGGUCGGGAAUAACCUCGCGAAAGUGAGGGUAAAACCUGAUAGGGAAAAAAAUCUGGAAUGAUUUCUUCCUUAAACUUGUGCCAUAGGAUGGGCCGGCGGCGGAUUAGGUAGUUGGCGGUGUAAUGGACCACCAAGCCGAAGAUCCGUACGGGCCAUGAGAGUGGUAGCCCGGAGAGGAACACUGAGAUACUGGUUCCAGCCCUACGGGGUGCAGCAGGCGCGUAACCUUUACAAUGCACGAAAGUGUGAUAAGGGGAUCCCAAGUGCUUAACAUUGUUAGGCUUUUGCCAAGUGUAAAUAGCUUGGCGAAUAAGGGGUGGGUAAGACUGGUGCCAGCCGCCGCGGUAACACCAGCGCCCCAAGUGGCAAUCACGUUUAUUGGGCCUAAAGCGUUCGUAGCAGGUCUUGACAAUCUUUUGUGAAAUCGGCAAGCUUAACUUGUCGGCGUGCAGGAGACACUGCAAGACUCGAGACCGGGAGAAGUUAGGAGUAUUUCUGGGGUAACGGUAAAAUGUGUUAAUCCCAGGAGGACUACCAAUGGCGAAGGCACCUAACCAGAACGGAUCUGACUGUGAGGAACGAAAGCUAGGGGAGCAAAACGGAUUAGAUACCCGAGUAGUCCUAGCCGUAAACUCUGCGAGCAAGGUAUUGCGCAUCUCACGAGGAUGUGCAGUGUCGAAGCGAAGGCGUUAAGCUCGCCGCCAGGGAAGUACGGUCGCAAGGCUGAAACUUUAAGGAAUUGGCGGGGGAGCACCACAAGGGGUGCGGCGUGCGGUUCAAUCUAACUUAACGCAGAGAACCUCACUAGACCCGACGGCAGGAUGAAGGACAAGCUGAAGACUUUUCCUGACGAGCCGAGAGGUAGUGCAUGGCCGUCGUCAGCUCGUGCUGUGAAGUGUCCUCUUAAGUGAGGCAACGAGCGAGACCUAUACCCUCUAUUGCUAACAACCGUUACGACGGGUUUGAGCACUUUGAGGGGACUGCCUUGGAAACAAGGAGGAAGGUGUAGGCUACGGUAGGUCUGUAUGCUCCGAAUGGUCUAGGCUACACGCGCGCAACAAUGGUUGGGACAAUGGGAUGCGACCCUGAAAAGGGCAGCUAAACCUCUAAACCCAAUCCAAGUUCAGAUCGAGGCUUGUAACCCAGCCUCGUGACGCUGGAAUCCCUAGUAAUCGGGUGUCAUCAUCGCCCGGUGAAUGUGUCCCUGCUCCUUGCACACACCGCCCGUCAAACCAAUCGAGCAGGGUUUAGGUGAAACUUAAUUUUUUUGAUUAAGUUGAAUCUAAGCUCAGUGAGAUGGGUUAAGUCGUCCCAAGGUC
rnacentral:rRNA from 1 species